rnacentral:rRNA from 1 species
CCUACGGGCGGCUGCAGUGAGGAAUAUUGGUCAAUGGUCGGGAGACUGAACCAGCCAAGCCGCGUGAGGGAUGAAGGUACAGAGUAUCGUAAACCUCUUUUGUCAGGGAACAAAGGCGGGGACGCGUCCCCGGCUGCGUGUACCUGAAGAAAAAGCAUCGGCUAACUCCGUGCCAGCAGCCGCGGUAAUACGGAGGAUGCGAGCGUUAUCCGGUUUUCUUGGGUUUAAGGGGUGCGCAGGCGGUCUUGUAAGUCAGCGGUCAAAGCCCGGGGCUCAACCCCGGCCCGCCGUUGAAACUGGCAGGCUCGAGUUGGAGAGAAGUAGGCGGAAUGCGCGGUGUAGCGGUGAAAUGCAUAGAUAUCGCGCAGAACUCCGAUUGCGAAGGCAGCAUGCCGGCUCCACACUGACGCUGAGGCACGAAAGCGUGGGUAUCGAACAGGAUUAGAUACCCUUGUAGUC